GCCAGGCAUGGUGGCGCGUGCCUGUAAUCCCAGCUACUCAGGAGGCUGAGGCAGGAGAUUCACUUGAACUCAGGAGGUGGAGGUUGCAGUGAGCAGAGAUCGCACCACUGCACUCCAGCCUGGGUGACAGAGUGAGACUCUGUCUCAA
ensembl:misc_RNA Metazoa_SRP Metazoan signal recognition particle RNA